AAACUCAAAGUUCUAGUCGGAUUCAUCAUUACAAUAUAUAUAUAUAUUAUAAUAUAUUUCGCAAAUUUGUUGGUAUUUUUCCACGACAAAUUACGGUCACACCUAUUCCUCAACAUAACGGCAUUUCUUAUGUCAACACAGUGUCAAGUUUUUGAUUCUCCUUGUCUUCCUUAAAAUUGAUGUGUAUAGAAGUUUCCAGUGCAUCCACAACUAAAAAGUUGCUAUGGACAAUGAGCCUUCGGACAUAGCAAGGGCAAAGCUUGCUAUGCAGGAGAGUAUACUUCUUUGUGUGCGAAACACUUUGACCUCCGAACAAAUUGCACGGGCGGAGAGUUUUAUACAGCGCUCACGCAACUAUGUAAGUAUAUGCGUAUACAAUGAAGAAAGAGCGAGCAUGUCAUUGCACAUCGUAAAUGUGAGUGGUGUGAGUCCCGACAUUGAAUCCAUAAAAAAGGGCACUGUUACCAUACCCAAAAACAUGGAACGCUACAAAAAUUCACCCUUAAUCAUCAUCACAGAUGAAUACCAUAUUCCACAUUUGAAUUUUACUUAUUUGGCCAAGAAGUAUAAGGUUCUGGCGAUCGCAACAGUGGACAUUGAUGGUAGUAACCUAGCUUACCAAUACCUUAAGGUGGUGGAACUGGACGAAACUGAUAAAUAUAAGAAAUUGGGACGCCUGGAGAUUAAAGAAGACCAUUACAAUUCAAACAUAUCGCCACUUUCACAUAUUUGUGGCGGUUAUAAAAUCCCGAAUUUUUGGGACAAUCGCCAUCGCCGAAAAGUUAACGCAAGAAGUGUGAUAGACGACGCAUUUUUUGAGAAAGCUUACGACAGCACAUACACUAAGCUCACUGUCGCUGAUAUUGGAGAAAGCAUUAAAGAAGAUUCUUAAAAAAAACAGUUGGAAAAUGUAAAAAUCGCCCUGAAUAUCAAUAGCGACAAGUUUGAGCACAUUGGGGACGUCAUUAAGCACAUGACCCACAAAGCUUUAGAAUAUGCCGUCUUUCAAUCGAUUUGGGAGAUUAUUGGUUUUUCUCAUCUGCGGCUGCUGGCCUGGCCACCAAAAUACCGCCGUGAUCUACAACGCCGUGCAGGUUCUGUUGAGUGUACUGCUGUUCUACGAGGGCUAUAAGGGCGGCUGGGGCGGAGACUACAGCUACAAAUGCCAGCCGGUGCCCUAUUCCACAGACCCCAUCUCCAUGAGGAUGGCCGGAGCUGUGCGCCUUCAUUGAAGUGAAGUACUUUGCCGGCGGCCAUGGCACUCUGCUGGGCUUCAUCGACUCCUUCAUCCAUCAUGUACGCCUACUACUUGCUGUCGGCGAUGGGUCCCAAGGUGCAGAAGUAUCUGUGGUGGAAGAAGUACAUCACCAUCCUGCAGAUUGUGAGUGUGCCCGAAA